UACGUAGGGUGCAAGCGUUGUCCGGAAUUAUUGGGCGUAAAGAGCUCGUAGGCGGUCUGUCGCGUCGGCUGUGAAAACUCGGGGCUCAACCCCGAGCCUGCAGUCGAUACGGGCAGACUAGAGUGCGGUAGGGGGAGGACUGGAAUUCCUGGUGUAGCGGUGAAAUGCGCAGAUAUCAGGAGGAACACCGGUGGCGAAGGCGGGUCUCUGGGCCGUAACUGACGCUGAGGAGCGAAAGCGUGGGGAGCAAACAGG
rnacentral:rRNA from 1 species